rnacentral:tRNA from 1 species
UUUAAUAUGGCAGAUUAGUGCAAUGAAUUUAAGCUUCAUAUAUAAAGUAAAUACUUUUAUUAAAA